ACUUGAUGGAUUAAAAAUUGUAUAAAAAGUCAAAAUAAUUGAAAUGACCAUGCAAUUCGAAGUGAGAGAGAGCGCAGGAAGACUAAAGACAAAGAUUUGUUGGAGUCUAACUGGGAAGAGACGGAGGAAGGAUGGAGUUAUUAAGUAAAAUAAGAUACGAAUCGGUUAGGUAUAAAAUAUUGGGAAGAAUAUACUCAAGAAAAAAAAUUUUGCUUAAAAAAAGAA